UACGGAGGGUCCAAGCGUUAUCCGGAAUCAUUGGGUUUAAAGGGUCCGUAGGCGGGCUAGUAAGUCAGUGGUGAAAUCUCCCGGCUCAACCGGGAAAUGGCCAUUGAUACUACUAGUCUUGAAUUAUUGGGAAGUAACUAGAAUAUGUAGUGUAGCGGUGAAAUGCUUAGAGAUUACAUGGAAUACCAAUUGCGAAGGCAGGUUACUAUCAAUAUAUUGACGCUGAUGGACGAAAGCGUGGGUAGCGAACAGG
rnacentral:rRNA from 1 species